GGUGCGGCAGGCCUAACACAUGCAAGUCGAGCGGUAGAGAGAAGCUUGCUUCUCUUGAGAGCGGCGGACGGGUGAGUAAUACCUAGGAAUCUGCCUGAUAGUGGGGGAUAACGUUCGGAAACGGACGCUAAUACCGCAUACGUCCUACGGGAGAAAGCAGGGGACCUUCGGGCCUUGCGCUAUCAGAUGAGCCUAGGUCGGAUUAGCUAGUUGGUGAGGUAAUGGCUCACCAAGGCUACGAUCCGUAACUGGUCUGAGAGGAUGAUCAGUCACACUGGAACUGAGACACGGUCCAGACUCCUACGGGAGGCAGCAGUGGGGAAUAUUGGACAAUGGGCGAAAGCCUGAUCCAGCCAUGCCGCGUGUGUGAAGAAGGUCUUCGGAUUGUAAAGCACUUUAAGUUGGGAGGAAGGGCAGUUACCUAAUACGUGAUUGUCUUGACGUUACCGACAGAAUAAGCACCGGCUAACUCUGUGCCAGCAGCCGCGGUAAUACAGAGGGUGCAAGCGUUAAUCGGAAUUACUGGGCGUAAAGCGCGCGUAGGUGGUUUGUUAAGUUGAAUGUGAAAUCCCCGGGCUCAACCUGGGAACUGCAUCCAAAACUGGCAAGCUAGAGUAUGGUAGAGGGUAGUGGAAUUUCCUGUGUAGCGGUGAAAUGCGUAGAUAUAGGAAGGAACACCAGUGGCGAAGGCGACUACCUGGACUGAUACUGACACUGAGGUGCGAAAGCGUGGGGAGCAAACAGGAUUAGAUACCCUGGUAGUCCACGCCGUAAACGAUGUCAACUAGCCGUUGGGAGUCUUGAACUCUUAGUGGCGCAGCUAACGCAUUAAGUUGACCGCCUGGGGAGUACGGCCGCAAGGUUAAAACUCAAAUGAAUUGACGGGGGCCCGCACAAGCGGUGGAGCAUGUGGGUUUAAUUCGAAGCACGCGAGACCUUACCAGCCUUGACAUCCAUGACUUUCUAGAGAUGGAUUGUGCUUCGGGACAUGAGACAGUGCUGCAUGCUGUCGUCAGCUCGUGUCGUGAGAUGUGGUAGUCCGGUACCGAGCGCAUGUGUCUAGUACAGCACGUAUGUGGCACUCUAAGAACUGCGUGACACGAGCAGGUUGGGAUGACGUCAGUCAUCAUGGCGUACGGCCUGGUCUCAACGUCUCAUGUCGUCAAGUUGCCAGUCCAAGGUGAACCUAAUC
rnacentral:rRNA from 1 species